rnacentral:misc_RNA from 2 species
GCGGAGGAAAAGAAACCAACAGGGAUUGCCUCAGUAACGGCGAGUGAAGCGGCAACAGCUCAAAUUUGAAAUCUGGCUCCUUCGGGGUCCGAGUUGUAAUUUGCAGAGGAUGCGUCGGGUACGGGUCCCUACCGAGUUCCCUGGAACGGGACGCCAUAGAGGGUGAGAGCCCCGUCUGGUAGGAUACCCAGCCCAUGUGACGCUCCCUCGACGAGUCGAGUAGUUUGGGAAUGCUGCUCUAACGGGAGGUAUACUCCUUCCAAAGCUAAAUACCGGCUGGAGACCGAUAGCGCACAAGUAGAGUGAUCGAAAGAUGAAAAGCACUUUGAAAAGAGAGUCAAACAGCACGUGAAAUUGUUAAAAGGGAAGCACUCGCUACCAGACUUGGGUUUGGCGGUUCAACCGGGGCCACGCCCCGGGGCAUUCCGCCAGCUCAGGCCAGCAUCAGCUUUCCGUCGGGGGCAAAGACGUCGGGAAUGUGGCUCCCCCUCGGGGGAGUGUUAUAGCCCGGCGUGUCAUACCCUUCGGGGGGCUGAGGUACGCGCUUCUGCAAGGAUGCUGGCGUAAUGGUAGCUAGUGACCCGUCUUGAAACACGGACCAAGGAGUCAACCUUAUGUGCGAGUGCCCGGGCGUAAAACCCCAGCGCGGAAUGAAAGUGAACGUAGGUGAGAGCUUCGGCGCAUCACCGACCGAUCCUGAUGUCCUCGGACGGAUUUGAGUGAGAGCAUAUAGGGUUGGACCCGAAAGAAGAUGAACUAUGCGUGUGUAGGGUGAAGCCAGAGGAAACUCUGGUGGAGGCUCGCAGCGGUUCUGACGUGCAAAUCGA